UGUGGGUUCUACGACACGUAUGAUUAUAGGGAUAGUCGGGGGCAUCAGUAUUCAAUCGUCAGAGGUGAAAUUCUAUGGAUCGAUUGAAGACUAACUACUGCGAAAGCAUUUGCCAAGGUAUGUUUUCAUUAAUCAGGGAACGAAAGUUAGGGGAUCGAAGACGAUCAGAUACCGUCGUAGUCUUAACCAUAAACUAUGCCGACUAGGGAUUGGGCGAUGUUCUUUUNUGACUCGCUCAGCNCCUUACGAGAAAUCAAAGUCUUUGNGUUCUGGGGGGAGUAUGGUCGCAAGGCUGAAACUUANAGGAAUUGACGGAAGGGCACCACCAGGAGUGGAGCCUGCGGCUUAAUUNGACUCAACACGGGGAAACUCACCAGGUCCAGACACAUUAAGGAUUGACAGAUUGAGAGCUCUUUCUUGAUUAUGUGGGUGGUGGUGCUUGGCCGUCCUUAGUUGGUGGAGUGAUUUGUCUGCUUAAUUGCGAUAACNAACGAGACCUUAUCCUGCUAAAUAGUCAGGCCAGCUCCGGCUGGUCGCUGGCUUCUUACAGGGACUAUCGGCUUCAAGCCGAUGGAAGUNUGAGGCAAUAACAGGUCUGUGAUGCCCUUANAUGUUCUGGGCCGCACGCGCGCUACACUGACAGAGCCNACGAGUUUAUACCUUGUCCGANAGGUCNGGGUAAUCUUGUGAAACUCUGUCGUGCUGGGGAUAGAGCAUUGCNAUA
rnacentral:rRNA from 1 species